rnacentral:rRNA from 1 species
GGUUAAGCGACUAAGCGUACACGGUGGAUGCCCUGGCAGUCAGAGGCGAUGAAGGACGUGCUAAUCUGCGAAAAGCGUCGGUAAGGUGAUAUGAACCGUUAUAACCGGCGAUGUCCGAAUGGGGAAACCCAGUGCAAUUCGUUGCACUAUCGUUAACUGAAUACAUAGGUUAACGAGGCGAACCGGGGGAACUGAAACAUCUAAGUACCCCGAGGAAAAGAAAUCAACCGAGAUUCCCCCAGUAGCGGCGAGCGAACGGGGAGCAGCCCAGAGUCUGAAUCAGCUUGUGUGUUAGUGGAACGGUCUGGAAAGUCCGACGGUACAGGGUGAUAGUCCCGUACACCAAAAUGCACAGGCUGUGAACUCGAAGAGUAGGGCGGGACACGUGGUAUCCUGU